GACGAACGCUGGCGGCGUGCCUAAUACAUGCAAGUCGAGCGAGCUUGCUUAGAUGAAUUUGGUGCUUGCACCAAAUGAAACUAGAUACAAGCGAGCGGCGGACGGGUGAGUAACACGUGGGUAACCUGCCCAAGAGACUGGGAUAACACCUGGAAACAGAUGCUAAUACCGGAUAACAACACUAGACGCAUGUCUAGAGUUUAAAAGAUGGUUCUGCUAUCACUCUUGGAUGGACCUGCGGUGCAUUAGCUAGUUGGUAAGGUAACGGCUUACCAAGGCAAUGAUGCAUAGCCGAGUUGAGAGACUGAUCGGCCACAUUGGGACUGAGACACGGCCCAAACUCCUACGGGAGGCAGCAGUAGGGAAUCUUCCACAAUGGACGCAAGUCUGAUGGAGCAACGCCGCGUGAGUGAAGAAGGGUUUCGGCUCGUAAAGCUCUGUUGGUAGUGAAGAAAGAUAGAGGUAGUAACUGGCCUUUAUUUGACGGUAAUUACUUAGAAAGUCACGGCUAACUACGUGCCAGCAGCCGCGGUAAUACGUAGGUGGCAAGCGUUGUCCGGAUUUAUUGGGCGUAAAGCGAGUGCAGGCGGUUCAAUAAGUCUGAUGUGAAAGCCUUCGGCUCAACCGGAGAAUUGCAUCAGAAACUGUUGAACUUGAGUGCAGAAGAGGAGAGUGGAACUCCAUGUGUAGCGGUGGAAUGCGUAGAUAUAGGAAGGAACACCAGUGGCGAAGGCGACCACCUGGACUAAUACUGACACUGAGGUGCGAAAGCGUGGGGAGCAAACAGG
rnacentral:rRNA from 1 species